UACGUAGGGGGCAAGCGUUGUCCGGAAUCAUUGGGCGUAAAGGGCGCGUAGGCGGCCCGCACAAGUCUGCGGUGAAAACCCCCGGCUUAACCGGGGGCCGGCCGUGGAAACUGUCGGGCUGGAGGCUGGGAGAGGGCAGCGGAAUUCCCGGUGUAGCGGUGAAAUGCGUAGAGAUCGGGAGGAACACCGGCGGCGAAGGCGGGUCUCUGGGCAGUAACUGACGCUGAGGAGCGAAAGCGUGGGGAGCGAACAGG
rnacentral:rRNA from 1 species